rnacentral:rRNA from 1 species
UCGAUAUCCACGCAUACUCAACCUUUUCUUGACUAAGCAGCAUGUGUACUGCCGUUGUAAGCACACCUUUAAAAGAACGAGUGUGCUACUAUGAUUAUAACUAACUCAUAUACAUCAGGUCAAAGUGCAGCUAAUAAAAAGGUGAUGAUGGGUUACAACCCUAAAACAGACUAUCAAUUAAGAAAUAAAAAAUCUUACGAAAGUGGACUUGGCCGUAAUCAAUUUACAAGUUAAAAAAAUGAAUAAAAAUCUAAGACAUGUACACAUCGCCCGUCACUCUAUCCUAAAGGUUAGAUAAGUCGUAACAAAGUAGGUGUAAUGGAAAUUGUACCUGUCGAAGUAUAGCAUAUAAUAAUGCUUUUUACUUACACUAAAAAUAAAGUUUAAUACUUACUUCGCCCAUAUAAUAAUAUCUUAUAAAUUAUAAAUAAUAGAAACAACAGAACAACUACAUAAUUAGUAAAGUACAGAAAUGGAAAAAAAUAAUAAAUAAAAGUAAAUAUUAAUAUUUGUACCUUGUGCAUUAUGGUUUUACAAGAUAGUAAUUAAAAACACCAAUCCCGAAUUCUAAAUGAGAUGUUAAACUACUGUUAUGAACCCAUUAAUAGCUGUAGAAAUAGCUUUAAAAGAUAGUUUAACAGAGGCUACAUACCAUCCGCAUAAGAAUAUAGCUGGUUUUCAAUAAACAUUAUAAAUUAAAACAUAUAAUUAUAUUAUAGUGUAAUACUAUUGAGGAUAAGCCCAAUAAUAAAAGCAAUAGAUAAACAAAUACACUUUGCACCCAUAGGCCUAAAAUCAGCCAAUAAAAAUACUUUACCGUAAUAAGAAAAGAUAAAAUAAAUGUAAUAAAUAUGCUAAAGAAAAUUGAAAUACUGGACAAAUUAAAUGCCCCAAAUUUAUUAUGUAAAAAUAAGUAUUAUAAGAGAAAACUAAUAAUAGACUAGAAAUCAACACCACAAAAGUAAUAAUAAUUAAUUAAGGAACUCGGCAAACCACUAUUUCGACUGUUUAACAAAAACAUUGUCUCAUGAAAAUAUAUGAGAUAAU